rnacentral:rRNA from 1 species
AACGAACGCUGGCGGCAUGCCUAACACAUGCAAGUCGAACGAGACCUUCGGGUCUAGUGGCGCACGGGUGCGUAACGCGUGGGAACCUGCCCUUAGGUUCGGAAUAACUCCCCGAAAGGGGUGCUAAUACCGGAUAAUGUCUUCGGACCAAAGAUUUAUCGCCUUUGGAUGGGCCCGCGUUGGAUUAGCUAGUUGGUAGGGUAAAAGCCUACCAAGGCGACGAUCCAUAGCUGGUCUGAGAGGAUGAUCAGCCACACUGGGACUGAGACACGGCCCAGACUCCUACGGGAGGCAGCAGUGAGGAAUAUUGGACAGUGGGCGAAAGCCUGAUCCAGCAAUGCCGCGUGAGUGAUGAAGGCCUUAUGGUUGUAAAGCUCUUUUACCCGGGAUGAUAAUGACAGUACCGGGAGAAUAAGCACCGGCUAACUCCGUG